CAACAGGGAUUGCCUCAGUAACGGCGAGUGAAGCGGCAACAGCUCAAAUUUGAAAUCUGGCACCCGCCCGAGUUGUAAUUUGCAGAGGAGGCUUUGGAGUCGCCCCGGUCCAAGUUCCUUGGAACAGGACGUCGCAGAGGGUGAGAAUCCCGUACGCGGCCGGAUGGCUUCUCCGUGUAAAGCCCCUUCGACGAGUCGAGUUGUUUGGGAAUGCAGCUCUAAAUGGGAGGUAAAUUUCUUCUAAAGCUAAAUACCGGCCAGAGACCGAUAGCGCACAAGUAGAGUGAUCGAAAGAUGAAAAGCACUUUGAAAAGAGAGUUAAAAAGUACGUGAAAUUGUUGAAAGGGAAGCGUUUGUAGCCAGACUUGGCGGCAGUUGCUCAACCGGUCUUUGCCCGGUGCACUCUUCUGCCGACAGGCCAGCAUCAGUUCGGGCGGCCGGAUAAAGGCAUUGGGAACGUGGCUCCUCGGAGUGUUAUAGCCCUUUGCACAAUGCGGCCAGCCCGGACUGAGGACCGCGAUUCACGGAUGCUGGCUUAAUGGCUGCCAACGGCCCGUCUUGAAACACGGACCAAGGAGUCUAACAUCUAUGCGAGUGUUUGGGUGUCAAACCCGUACGCGUAAUGAAAGUGAACGGAGGUGGGAGCCUUUGCGGGCGCACCAUCGACCGAUCCUGAUGUCUUCGGAAGGAUUUGAGUAAGAGCAUAGCUGUUGGGACCCGAAAGAUGGUGAACUAUGCCUGAAUAGGGUGAAGCCAGAGGAAACUCUGGUGGAGGCUCGCAGCGGUUCUGACGUGCAAAUCGAUC
rnacentral:rRNA from 1 species